rnacentral:rRNA from 1 species
CCUACGGGCGGCUGCAGUAGGGAAUAUUGCGCAAUGGGGGAAACCCUGACGCAGCGACGCCGCGUGAGUGAUGAAGGCCUUCGGGUCGUAAAACUCUGUCCUUAGGGAAGAAACCAAUGACGGUACCCGAGGAACAAGCCACGGCUAACUACGUGCCAGCAGCCGCGGUAAUACGUAGGUGGCGAGCGUUGUCCGGAAUUACUGGGUGUAAAGGGCGUGUAGGCGGGAAGGCAAGUCAGAUGUGAAAGCCCAUGGCUUAACUGUGGAAUUGCAUCUGAAACUGUUUUUCUUGAGUGCUGGAGAGGAAAGUGGAAUUCCUAGUGUAGCGGUGAAAUGCGUAGAGAUUAGGAGGAACACCAGUGGCGAAGGCGGCUUUCUGGACAGUAACUGACGCUGAGGCGCGAAAGCGUGGGGAGCAAACAGGAUUAGAUACCCUUGUAGUCAC